UAGAACCUUCUCCUCCCUCUCUUCUAAACCUCAAGGCUUCAUGUUAAAUGGAACAAAUCACAUCCUUCGUGGUUCUGCUCUGUUUGGUACAGCUGCUUGCUGCAGGUGGUGCCCUAAAAAUAUAUUGUUUGUUUAUUUUGCAAUAGAGCAGUCUGCUGAGUGCUACCUCAGAGGGCAACAGCUCCCUUCUCUUUCUGUCAGUGAACCAAAUGAUGAAAGACGGAGACCCCCGCCAACCCUGGUGUGGAAAGGCCCCAGUAAGAGGCACAGGUGGUGCUUGAGGCUCAGCUUCUGAUGACUUCCAUUCUCUUUGGAUUCAUGAAACAAAGCUGACAAGCACACUGUCAUCAGAGCCUCUGACUGGGUCUCUGCGAAGCAAAGCCAAGCAACAAACUGCCUUUGGUGGGAGAAUCGAGGUCCUUCUCUAGAGAUUAACAUCUGUAAGCAUAUGGGGUUUAAAGGGAAAAAGAAUCUGCAAUGGUUCACAAAAAGAAAAUAAAAGUGAAGAUUAAUCUCAGCCCUCAACUGUGCCAAGAAAUGUCCUUUCCUGAGCUAUUUAUUGCCUUCAUUCUCUGAUUUCAGUAACUUUGUCACUGGAAAAAUCCUGUGUUCAAAAUGGUGAUUUGGUUCUUCUUCCCAUAUUUUUGGAAAUAAAACAAUUCCAGAAGCACUAGGAGUGGUUGGCGGUCAACACUUACUGCGAGGACAAUCUGGAGGGAACUGUGAGCCACUUCUAUGUACUGGUACUCCAGAAAACACCCUGAGACUGUGAUGUAGCG